UUUAGGAUAGUAACGAUUGAGUAAUCACUGAUAUAAAACUAGGUUUUGCGAGCAUUGAAUUGGUUUGCGAGCAUUGAACAGAAAAUGGUUUGGGGGCGAUUUAAUCGAUUAGGAUUUGGAUUGGUGUUGGGGGAGAGGGUGGUCUGGUUCGACGAUGAAGGUGGAGAAACCGGAGAGAGAGACGGAGGAGCGAUUGAACAUUGAAUUUGAUUGAUUGGUUUUUAAUUAUUUUCUUUUCCUUUGGUUUUU
rnacentral:lncRNA from 1 species